rnacentral:rRNA from 1 species
AAACCGACACAGGUGGUCAGGAUGAGAAAUCUAAGGCGGACAGGCUAACUCUCGUUAAGGAACUCUGCAAAAUAACCUCGUAACUUCGGGAGAAGAGGAGCCCUUGAGGGUCAGUAUCCACGCGAUACAAAGCGCUCGAGGGUCGCAGUGAAGAGGCUCAAGCAACUGUUUAACAAAAACACAGGUCUAUGCUAAGCUGGAAGGCGAUGUAUAUGGGCUGACACCUGCCCAGUGCUGGAAGGUUAAGAGGAGGAGUGAGAGCUCCGAAUUGAAGCCCCAGUGAACGGCGGCCGUAACUAUAACGGUCCUAAGGUAGCGAAAUUCCUUGUCGGGUAAGUUCCGACCUGCACGAAUGGUGUAAUGAUUUGAGCGCUGUCUUGACGGGAGGCCUGGUGAAAUUGUAUUACCGGUGAAGAUACCGGUUACCUACAGUAGGACGGAAAGACCCCAUGGAGCUUUACUGUAGCUUGGUAUUGGGUUUUGGCAUUGCAUGUAUAGGAUAGUUGGGAGACUGAGAUGAUAUGGCGCUAGCUGUAUCGGAGUCAUCGGUGGAAUACCAACCAUUCAAUGCUGAAAUUCUAAUCUGUGGUUUGUAGCCACGGAGACAGUGCUAGGUGGGCAGUUUGACUGGGGCGGUCGCCUCCGAAAGAGUAACGGAGGCGUUCAAAGGUUCUCUCAGGUUGGAUGGAAAUCAACCAUAGAGUGCAAUGGCAUAAGAGAGCUUGACUGCAAGACUGACGGGUCGAGCAGAUGCGAAAGCAGGACAUAGUGAUCCGGCGAUUCCGAAUGGAAGGGUCGUCGCUCAACGGAUAAAAGCUACCCUGGGGAUAACAGGCUGAUCCUACCCGAGAGUCCAUAUCGACGGUAGGGUUUGGCACCUCGAUGUCGGCUCAUCGCAUCCUGGGGCUGGAGAAGGUCCCAAGGGUUGGGCUGUUCGCCCAUUAAAGCGGUACGUGAGCUGGGUUCAGAACGUCGUGAGACAGUUCGGUCCCUAUCCACUGUAGGCGUUAGAAUAUUGAGAAGACCUGUCCUUAGUACGAGAGGACCGGGAUGGACAAACCUCUGAUGUACCAGUUGUCACGCCAGUGGCACAGCUGGGUAGUCACGUUUGGAAUAGAUAACCGCUGAAAGCAUCUAAGCGGGAAACUAACUUCAAGAUAAGUAUUCUUUAAGAUACCUUCGAGCCUAGGAGGUUGAUAGGUUGGGGGUGUAAGUGCAGCAAUGCAUUUAGCUGACCAAUACUAAUUAUCGAAGUUUUAAUCUA